rnacentral:rRNA from 1 species
GUCUGCAGCCAUGCCACCCUGAACAAGCCUGAUCCCGUCUGAUCUCUGAAGCUAAGCAGUGUCGGGCCUGGUUAGUACCUGGAGGGGAGACCACCUAGGAAGACUAGGUGCUGUAGGUG